rnacentral:rRNA from 1 species
AGCUCCAAUAGCGUAUAUUAAAGUUGUUGCAGUUAAAAAGCUCGUAGUUGGAUUUCUGAUGGGAGUGACCAUGCCGGACUUGAUUGUCCGUGCAAUGUGUUGUCUUCAAUCAUCCUUGUGGAGAGCAUUUCUGGCAUUAACUUGUUGGAUUUGGGACCCGCAUCGUUUACUGUGAAAAAAUUAGAGUGUUCAAAGCAGGCAAUUGGCUUGAAUACAUUAGCAUGGAAUAAUAAGAUAGGACUUUGGUGCUAUUUUGUUGGUUUGCACACUAAGGUAAUGAUUAACAGAAUCAGUCGGGGAUAUUCGUAUGCAAAUGUCAGAGGUGAAAUUCUUGGAUUUUUUACAGACGAACUACUGCGAAAGCAUUUAUCAAGGAUGUUUUCA